rnacentral:rRNA from 1 species
CUGGUGAGGAUGCCUACCAGGCUUCGACGGGUAGCCGGCCUGAGAGGAUGGCCAGCCACAUUGGGACUGAGAUACGGCCCAGACUCCUACGGGAGGCAGCAGUGGGGAAUAUUGCACAAUGGGCGCAAGCCUGAUGCAGCAACGCCGCGUGAGGGAUGACGGCCUUCGGGUUGUAAACCUCUUUUAGCAGGGAAGAAGCGAAAGUGACGGUACCUGCAGAAAAAGCGCCGGCUAACUACGUGCCAGAGCCCGCGGCCGA